rnacentral:rRNA from 1 species
AACAGGAUUAGAUACCCUGGUAGUCCACGCCGUAAACGAUGAGUGCUAGGUGUUAGGGGGUUUCCGCCCCUUAGUGCUGAAGUUAACGCAUUAAGCACUCCGCCUGGGGAGUACGGCCGCAAGGCUGAAACUCAAAAGAAUUGACGGGGGCCCGCACAAGCGGUGGAGCAUGUGGUUUAAUUCGAAGCAACGCGAAGAACCUUACCAGGUCUUGACAUCCUCUGAUGACGGUAGAGAUACCGAGUUCCCUUCGGGGACAGAGUGACAGGUGGUGCAUGGUUGUCGUCAGCUCGUGUCGUGAGAUGUUGGGUUAAGUCCCGCAACGAGCGCAACCCUUAAUCUUAGUUGCCAGCAUUAAGUUGGGCACUCUAAGGUGACUGCCGGUGACAAACCGGAGGAAGGUGGGGAUGACGUCAAAUCAUCAUGCCCCUUAUGACCUGGGCUACACACGUGCUACAAUGGAUGGAACAAAGGGCAGCGAAGCGGCGACGCAUUAGCUAAUCCCAUAAAACCAUUCUCAGUUCGGAUUGCAGGCUGCAACUCGCCUGCAUGAAGCCGGAAUCGCUAGUAAUCGCGGAUCGGCAUGCCGCGGUGAAUACGUUCCCGGGCCUUGUACACACCGCCCGUCACACCACGAGAGUUGGCAACACCCGAAGUCGGUGAGGUAACCUUUUGGAGCCAGCCGCCGAAGGUGGGGCCAAUGAUCGGGGUGAAGUCGUAACAAGGUAACC